CGAAACCGGGACCUAAGUCACCAAGAGCUUAAUCCUUUUCCAUGGGCCCCCGUCGCUCACCAGCACACCUGAAGCCUAGCAGUUUAGCUAGUGGGAUUUAAGCUAAGCCGUCGCCCAUACAACGGUCGAGUGGUUGCAUGAUGGUUGAGUUAGGCAAAAUGACACAUCAACUCGGUCCUUAGCCAUGACAAGAUGGAUAUCUCCCAACUUUGCUCAACCACUAAGGUACGAGCUCAAUAAUCCGGCAUUUCACACAAGAAACGCCCAUCCAUCUCAUCCACACACCACUUCUUCUUACACCUGAAAACCCAACUCCUCAGUUAAACACACUCACACAUUUAUUUUUCGAAUAAACAAGUGUAGUCAUGAUUGAUUUUGAGUAAUGAGUUCCUAAGCAUUCUAGCAGUGUUUAUCAUCCAAACAGAGCAACUCAUAUUUAGAGAUAAAUAUAGGACAAUAAGGAAUAAUCAUAACAAUCAAGGGGUGGCUAUCCAACCAUGUCUUGCAAUAAAAAUAAUAUGCAUGUUAUAAAACAGGCCAAUAGGUUGUGUUUGAAAAGCUGGGUAUUAAAUAUGCAUCAAAGGAUCAGGUUGGACUUGACGUUCUCAAAGCCUUCCGGGAGCUCCUGCUCGCGGUACUGGUCCUCGGGCUCGGGCUCGCGGUCGAACUCCUCCUCGUGCUCCCCGUCGGGUACUCCGCGAUCUACGGCACACACAAGCGAGCACACAAUAAAUAAAAAGGAAAAAGAUUUUACCCGUUGAGCUCCGAACAGGAAAUGUAAACGGAAAAUAGGUAGGAAGGGUAUUUUCAUGAAAUUUGGAUAUGCCUCGGCGGAAAUAUAUGAGAGGAGGCCGUGGUCAAAUUUAGGAUCAAUUGGAGGAAGGUUGGCGCAUGAAAUGACGAGCUAAAGGAGUGUUAGGGGCUUAAAACAAGGUUUUAGGACUAAACUGCGAGAACCAGGGACCUAUUUGUAAUUUUUUUCUGGAAGGUGGAAGGGUGUAUUCGUGAAACUUCUUUAAGAGAGGUGGGAGGGUUGGUUUGUAAUUAGAGGAAAGGAGGGGGUUAGAUCAAAAUUGAAGGGGAUUCUCCCCUUCUUCUUCCUGGAGCACGGGUACAGGGAGGUAGGAGGCAACUCGACGGUGGUCCGGCCAAUCAAGCUUGCCGGCGGCGAGACCAAGCGGCGGGGGAGGUAGAGGAGGCCGAGGGGACUCCAUUUUGACCCUCACCUUGGGGAUUCGGCGAUGGAAAGCGAGGGGGCCGGCGUGGGAAAAAAAAGGCGGUGGGCGGAGCUCUGGUGGCGGCGCACGGGGUCGGUGGAGAGGGG
rnacentral:lncRNA from 1 species